rnacentral:sRNA from 1 species
CGCGCCUCAGGCGUCUCCUCCUCCUCCCUCCUUCCCCCUCCUCUCUCCUCCCCUCCUCCCGCGCGCCCCGCUUUGUGUCCGUGGUCUCCCGCGCGGGACGGAGGGACUGGCCGGAGCUGGCGCUUUCUCAGCACUAGAUCUGGACUCCGACCCGGCGCCAGAAUACAGUCGCUUUGAAUCGAAGAUACAUGACUUACGAGAACAAAUGAUGAACAGCAGCAUGAGCUCUGGGUCUGGGUCCCUCCGAACAAGUGAAAAGAGGUCCUUGUAUGUCAGGGCCCUGUUUGAUUAUGAUCGGACUCGGGACAGCUGCCUGCCAAGCCAGGGGCUCAGCUUCUCUUAUGGUGACAUUCUGCAUGUCAUUAAUGCCUCUGAUGAUGAGUGGUGGCAGGCAAGGCUGGUGACCCCACACGGAGAAAGUGAGCAGAUCGGUGUGAUCCCCAGUAAGAAGAGGGUGGAAAAGAAAGAAAGAGCUCGAUUGAAAACUGUGAAGUUCCAUGCCAGGACGGGGAUGAUUGAGUCUAACAGGUCGAUCAAAACGAAACGUAAAAAGAGUUUCCGCCUCUCUCGAAAGUUUCCAUUUUACAAGAGCAAAGAAAACAUGGCCCAGGAGAGCAGCAUACAGGAACAGGGAGUGACAUCCAACACCAGUGACAGCGAAAGCAGUUCCAAAGGACAAGAGGAUGCUAUUUUGUCAUAUGAGCCAGUGA